rfam:Camelus ferus unplaced genomic scaffold scaffold1652, whole genome shotgun sequence.
GAGGGUACAGCUCAAGUGGUAUAGCGCAUGCUUAGCAUGCACAAGGUCCUGGGUUCAAUCCCCAGUACCUCCU